UAAAUUGCCCUAACAUCAACCUUCCUAGCAUUAGGUCUGCCACCUUGAGGUGUGCUGCAAAGCGUUAAAGCCGGAUGGCCAUCGCUGUCAUCGCCUUCUAUAUUGAGAUCCUGCCUCCCCAUGCAACCCUUUGUAAGUUUGUUCCAAUAUAAAGUACAGGUAAAACUCAAUUCAGGUUUUGUGAACGUUAAUGGGGUUUCCUCCCAUUUAGCAAGGAGGUUAAUGCUUUCUAC
rnacentral:lncRNA from 1 species